GGACAGGGAUGGGACAGGGCCCUUUAUAUGAAAACCCCAGGACUGCACACACAGAACAGGCACAUUUUUGACCCAUCAUUGUACCCUGCUGAAGAAGGAUUGAACAUGAAAAACGUGGUCUGACAACUUAAAUUACAAUAUAUUUAACAAAAAGACAGGAAGAUUGGAAUGUUACAAUGCACAUUGAAUUAGUGAAGUAGAUUGCAAUUGUGAAUGUCAAAAACUGGUUAACAGAUACAGUAUUCACAUACUUACAGCAUGUACAACAAAUAUGACUGGGUCAUGACAUUAAGACUAUAGAUACAAUCAUAAGACAACCAAAUACAUGAAAACAAGUGUUUGCUUUGAAAGUUGAUUGUACAGUAGGCUAGAGCUUCUAUAAAAGGAUGAGACAAGUGACAAAUUGUACAUCACAAAUGCAUGUGUCAACAAAUACUAAACUAUUUAGGAGUAAUCUAUUAAGGCUUGGUUCUCAUGAUCAAGCAGUCCGUUUCUUAUUGUACAUAUUAAAGACAAUGCACCUUGCUCAUAAAGAUGAUACAAAGUGGUUGUUGUUAACCCCCUGACACCACAAUAGUUGAUUCCUAUUAAUAAACACAACUGUGUAUCAAACUGGAGCGAUUGAAGGCUGACCAUUAAACCUAAAUAGGUAUAAAGAUGCAUUGGCUCUCAUCCAGUGGAGGCUGAUGAGAGGAGGACGGCUCAUAAUAAUGGCUGGAACGGACCGUGUGUUUGAUGUAUUUGAUACAAUUCCACCUAUUCUGCUCCAGCCAUUACCAUGAGCUAGUCCUCCCCAAUUAAGGUGCCACCAACCUCCUGUGCUCUCAUCAUGUUAUUCUAUUGCAGUUAUCUUUUGAGGCUGGGUGAAAAUAAAUUAUGGCAUAUCCUGCACCAAGCCCAAGCCCAAAAACAACAUCAAUAUUUUAUCUUGACAAAUAAAGUAGGCAAAACAUUGGUUCACACAAGAGGUAGUUCAUUAAAAUAUUAAAAAACAUUUAAACUGACGCACGUUAAUCUGGUACAGGUGUGUGGUUACUGGUGCUGGGUUACUGAUUUGCAGCACACGUCAUUCUGUUUGGCAGGUGCUUAACACAGAACCAUAUAUAUGAGAGGAAUCAGAAACACGCUCACAGCUGGUGGUAUUCCUCCUUGCAAUGCGAUAUGUGUUUGUAUAAUCUGUCUAUUCGGUUCUGUAGUACUCCCGCGUGUUCGUAGGAGAGAAAACCUAGUUCCGGAGACAAAGGUUCGCUGUCUCUGUACAGCUCGAGCAGCCGAGUCCUGGUGUCCCUGCGCCGGUGCAGUUCUAUCACGCGUUGCGCUGUCCUCUUUCUGAACACAGACACGGAGCCCAAGACCGUGCUGUGGUACUUCUCCCACAUAUCAAGCACCCGGUAUCCAUGUACAAGCCCUGCCUCGUUGUCUAUGAAUACCAGGUCACCGCGGGGCGUUCUGAGCAGGUUGUUGGUCUCCCUCUCCAUCACGCGCGAGUCCCACUGCAGGCUAAAGAGGUUGCUAACGAGCCUGUCGAAGUUAGCAGACAGGUAGUCCAAUAUUAUCAGGUCGGUCCACUGCAUUAGCUCGAACAACUCCGCAGUCGUUUUGUUUCCCAGCUCCCCUUGCAGAGGACGCAGCCCCUUGCUCUCCUGGCGCAGCGGAGCAGGUGUGACAACCCCGGUCAGGUUGGGGACCCACUCGGUGAGUGAGACCACCGCCCGCUCAUUCCACUGUAAACCGCCAAUUCUUCUCCUAACAGAAGCCCAUUGUUCACUGUCAACGUUCAACUGGGCAAGGAUGAGAGGCGGUAGAUUUGUAAUACCUAGCAAAUUAGCCAGGUAAUAAGUCAGCGUUUCCCCCUGCACCUGGUCCGCGUUUAUUCCAUAACGCACGCAAGCUUUGGCUCCGUCCGAAAAAGUGGCCAGCUGAUUGGAUAUUCUACCACAGCCCGGCUCCAGUCUGACUAUGCGGUGUCCCCGGGCUCUCUCUCUCCAAGCCCGGGCAUGUUCCUCACUGAAGCUGGCGGGAAGCUGAGCCUCCAGCCAUUCACUCCAAAAAAUACCCUCAACGAGCGAGCCAAAUUUGGCCGGGACCCCCCUCUGUACGGACCCCUUGUUAUCUACAUUCAUAUGGUAAUCUCUGUUUCCUAAAGAGCCAAUUUGAUCCCUAACACCAGUAACGUUGCGGACAUCCAGUCUGCCCCCCAAGUGCAGUCUCUGUGCCACUGGAACAGCGAGCAAAGCACGGAAAGUUUUAGCGGAGAUGUCCGGUGAUGGCCCAACGUGAAAGGAGCUCGGUAACUGUAACCCCCGUUUGUAUCUCUCCAGCCGACUCUCCAGCCUGCUCCAGACGUAGAAUACACAGGCACAAGUGCAGAGAAAGAGCAGUGCAAACUACAAUUACCACCAACUAAAGGAAACCUUGGCAUCCAUGACAGAGAGGGAGAAGCGUCCAUCCAUGUAUACGGAGAAUGGUAGAAUCAGGCUGGAGAAAACUCAGUGCCAGUCGAAACAAGGAUGCAUCUUAAAAUAGAGACUCCAGCAGCUACACAGACUGAUUUAGUAAAGUGCUUGGUGCAGUGGGUAUACAAAGCAUAAAACCCAGCCUUUGGACAAAGCUGACGCUGGAAAUCCGCUACCGACCCGGGACCUGUACAGCAUCGCACACUAUUACACAGAGCUCUUCACGGAUCCACAAAUACCCAAGAGGAUCCACAUCCAGAAUUCUAAAUAAUGUCACC
rnacentral:lncRNA from 1 species